UUUAACAUUUCCGAGACUUCAUUCUUUUCUUUUUUUUUUCCGGGUCUUAUAACUAUAACUGCAUCAUCAUGCAAGUAACAUGUUUGUGGUUGAUUCGAGGUUCUUCUACCGGUGACUUUUUUCUUUGAUAAUCACCAACUGUUGUGGCAGAAUGGUCAGAUUUCUGAUAAUUAUUCUAUGGACCGAAACAACUCGCCAAGUGGAAACCAAAGAUCUUCGGUUGGAAGUGGAAUCAAUAAUACCGGUACAUAUUGUGAGCUUUACUCUUGAAAUAUUUAUGAUUAACUAAAGUUUCGUCUUACUUGGUUUCUACUCAGUUUCUCUAACAGAUCUUCCUUAUUUGAUUGGAGUUUAAAAGGUACUUAACCUUUUUUUUUUUCAUAUAUAUAUUAGAGUUUAAUUUCUAGCAUUUCUUUGUCCAUUGCACAAAUUAAAUUGUUGCAUUGAGAGAUCGAGCUAGAAGAGGCUUGCUACAUUGGAUGAAGGGCAGUGGGUUUCAAAGCUUUAGGUUUCUUAUUGUAAAUUUAGUUGGGCUCUUUUGUUUUUGUGUUGGGUAUUCUCAAAUAUUGUUGCUUGACUUGUGGAAAUCUUUUGAUUUAAUAUAUUCAUGAAUGUUAGAGAA